AUCUUUAAUUUUUUAUCAUAAUACAUAUUAUUUUAUUAUAGAAGUGUGGGUUUUAAAUACAAUAAUUUCACGAGACCAUGGACGUAAUGCCAGGCUCGCUGAAAUUGGUAAUGAUCCUUCCGCAGGUUCACCUACGGAAA
rnacentral:misc_RNA from 1 species